UAAAGUUUUAUUCUUGCUUGUGGUAAUCUUUAAUAAAAGAUAUAUGUGAGUUUAGCUUGCAAUUAAGUUAAAAACUUAUUGUUUAAUUUGCAGUAUAAAAUCUUAUUAAUUAAGGAGUCUUAGAUAUAGUUAUUAUUAUAAGGCUGGCUAAUUUCGUGCCAGCAGCUGCGGUUAUACGAUUGGUCUAAGAUUACUUUAUUGGGAAUAGUUAAUUAUUAGAUUAUUUUAAAGAGUAAUUAUAUUAAGGUGAAAUUGAUAUAUUAUUAUGAAUUAUAAGUUAAAUGAGACUAAUAAAUUUAUGYAUAAAACUAGGAUUAGAUACCCUAUUAUUAUAAAUAUAAGUUAAAAGACUGGAGUAGUAAUUGUUAAGCUCUUGAAACUCAAAGAAUUUGGCGGUAUUUUAUUCUAAAUAGAGGAAUCUGUUGCGUAAACGAUAUCACACGAUAAGUGUACUUAAAUUAAAGGUAUGUAUACCGCCGUUAUCAGAGGAUCUUAAUAGAGUUAUUCUCAUUAAUUUAAACUAAGAAGUAUUUCAGGUCAAGGUGCAGCUUAUAUUUAAGUGAUUAAUGGAUUACAAUUUAUUUAUAAAGAAUGGAUAUUGGAGUGGAACCCUAAUUGAAGGUGGAUUUAUAAGUAAAUAAAUUAUUAUAAGGAAAUUUAUUGAAAAUAGCACUAGGAUAUGUACACAUCGCCCGUCACUCUCGUUGUUUAAAAUGAGAUAAGUCGUAACAAAGUAGAGGUACUGGAAAGUGUCUCUAGAAGGU
rnacentral:ncRNA from 1 species